GAAAAUGAUGGUUUUUUAUUGUCAUCUGACUUGCAUCCUAUAUUUGGAUGCAAUAGUAGUGAUUGACUCAUUAUAUCUGAUUC